rnacentral:rRNA from 1 species
UACGUAGGGGGCAAGCGUUGUCCGGAUUUAUUGGGCGUAAAGAGCGUGUAGGCGGCCAGGGAGGUCCGUUGUGAAAACUCGAGGCUCAACCUCGAGACGCCGAUGGAAACCCCCUGGCUAGAGUCCGGAAGAGGAGAGUGGAAUUCCUGGUGUAGCGGUGAAAUGCGUAGAGAUCGGGAGGAACACCAGUGGCGAAGGCGGCUACCUGGACCAGCACUGACACUGAGGCACGAAAGCGUGGGGAGCAAACAGG